rnacentral:rRNA from 1 species
UUAAGCGACUAAGCGUACACGGUGGAUGCCCUGGCAGUCAGAGGCGAUGAAGGACGUGCUAAUCUGCGAUAAGCGUCGGUAAGGUGAUAUGAACCGUUAUAACCGGCGAUUUCCGAAUGGGGAAACCCAGUGUGAUUCGUCACACUAUCAUUAACUGAAUCCAUAGGUUAAUGAGGCGAACCGGGGGAACUGAAACAUCUAAGUACCCCGAGGAAAAGAAAUCAACCGAGAUUCCCCCAGUAGCGGCGAGCGAACGGGGAGCAGCCCAGAGCCUGAAUCAGUGUGUGUGUUAGUGGAAGCGUCUGGAAAGGCGCGCGAUACAGGGUGACAGCCCCGUACACAAAAAUGCACAUGCUGUGAGCUCGAUGAGUAGGGCGGGACACGUGGUAUCCUGUCUGAAUAUGGGGGGACCAUCCUCCAAGGCUAAAUACUCCUGACUGACCGAUAGUGAACCAGUACCGUGAGGGAAAGGCGAAAAGAACCCCGGCGAGGGGAGUGAAAAAGAACCUGAAACCGUGUACGUACAAGCAGUGGGAGCACGCUUAGGCGUGUGACUGCGUACCUUUUGUAUAAUGGGUCAGCGACUUAUAUUCUGUAGCAAGGUUAACCGAAUAGGGGAGCCGAAGGGAAACCGAGUCUUAACUGGGCGUUAAGUUGCAGGGUAUAGACCCGAAACCCGGUGAUCUAGCCAUGGGCAGGUUGAAGGUUGGGUAACACUAACUGGAGGACCGAACCGACUAAUGUUGAAAAAUUAGCGGAUGACUUGUGGCUGGGGGUGAAAGGCCAAUCAAACCGGGAGAUAGCUGGUUCUCCCCGAAAGCUAUUUAGGUAGCGCCUCGUGAAUUCAUCUCCGGGGGUAGAGCACUGUUUCGGCAAGGGGGUCAUCCCGACUUACCAACCCGAUGCAAACUGCGAAUACCGGAGAAUGUUAUCACGGGAGACACACGGCGGGUGCUAACGUCCGUCGUGAAGAGGGAAACAACCCAGACCGCCAGCUAAGGUCCCAAAGUCAUGGUUAAGUGGGAAACGAUGUGGGAAGGCCCAGACAGCCAGGAUGUUGGCUUAGAAGCAGCCAUCAUUUAAAGAAAGCGUAAUAGCUCACUGGUCGAGUCGGCCUGCGCGGAAGAUGUAACGGGGCUAAACCAUGCACCGAAGCUGCGGCAGCGACGCUUAUGCGUUGUUGGGUAGGGGAGCGUUCUGUAAGCCUGCGAAGGUGUGCUGUGAGGCAUGCUGGAGGUAUCAGAAGUGCGAAUGCUGACAUAAGUAACGAUAAAGCGGGUGAAAAGCCCGCUCGCCGGAAGACCAAGGGUUCCUGUCCAACGUUAAUCGGGGCAGGGUGAGUCGACCCCUAAGGCGAGGCCGAAAGGCGUAGUCGAUGGGAAACAGGUUAAUAUUCCUGUACUUGGUGUUACUGCGAAGGGGGGACGGAGAAGGCUAUGUUGGCCGGGCGACGGUUGUCCCGGUUUAAGCGUGUAGGCUGGUUUUCCAGGCAAAUCCGGAAAAUCAAGGCUGAGGCGUGAUGACGAGGCACUACGGUGCUGAAGCAACAAAUGCCCUGCUUCCAGGAAAAGCCUCUAAGCAUCAGGUAACAUCAAAUCGUACCCCAAACCGACACAGGUGGUCAGGUAGAGAAUACCAAGGCGCUUGAGAGAACUCGGGUGAAGGAACUAGGCAAAAUGGUGCCGUAACUUCGGGAGAAGGCACGCUGAUAUGUAGGUGAAGUCCCUCGCGGAUGGAGCUGAAAUCAGUCGAAGAUACCAGCUGGCUGCAACUGUUUAUUAAAAACACAGCACUGUGCAAACACGAAAGUGGACGUAUACGGUGUGACGCCUGCCCGGUGCCGGAAGGUUAAUUGAUGGGGUCAGCGCAAGCGAAGCUCUUGAUCGAAGCCCCGGUAAACGGCGGCCGUAACUAUAACGGUCCUAAGGUAGCGAAAUUCCUUGUCGGGUAAGUUCCGACCUGCACGAAUGGCGUAAUGAUGGCCAGGCUGUCUCCACCCGAGACUCAGUGAAAUUGAACUCGCUGUGAAGAUGCAGUGUACCCGCGGCAAGACGGAAAGACCCCGUGAACCUUUACUAUAGCUUGACACUGAACAUUGAGCCUUGAUGUGUAGGAUAGGUGGGAGGCUUUGAAGUGUGGACGCCAGUCUGCAUGGAGCCGACCUUGAAAUACCACCCUUUAAUGUUUGAUGUUCUAACGUUGACCCGUAAUCCGGGUUGCGGACAGUGUCUGGUGGGUAGUUUGACUGGGGCGGUCUCCUCCUAAAGAGUAACGGAGGAGCACGAAGGUUGGCUAAUCCUGGUCGGACAUCAGGAGGUUAGUGCAAUGGCAUAAGCCAGCUUGACUGCGAGCGUGACGGCGCGAGCAGGUGCGAAAGCAGGUCAUAGUGAUCCGGUGGUUCUGAAUGGAAGGGCCAUCGCUCAACGGAUAAAAGGUACUCCGGGGAUAACAGGCUGAUACCGCCCAAGAGUUCAUAUCGACGGCGGUGUUUGGCACCUCGAUGUCGGCUCAUCACAUCCUGGGGCUGAAGUAGGUCCCAAGGGUAUGGCUGUUCGCCAUUUAAAGUGGUACGCGAGCUGGGUUUAGAACGUCGUGAGACAGUUCGGUCCCUAUCUGCCGUGGGCGCUGGAGAACUGAGGGGGGCUGCUCCUAGUACGAGAGGACCGGAGUGGACGCAUCACUGGUGUUCGGGUUGUCAUGCCAAUGGCACUGCCCGGUAGCUAAAUGCGGAAGAGAUAAGUGCUGAAAGCAUCUAAGCACGAAACUUGCCCCGAGAUGAGUUCUCCCUGACCCUUUAAGGGUCCUGAAGGAACGUUGAAGACGACGACGUUGAUAGGCCGGGUGUGUAAGCGCAGCGAUGCGUUGAGCUAACCGGUACUAAUGAACCGUGAGGCUUAACCU